rnacentral:rRNA from 1 species
CCUACGGGGUGCAGCAGUGAGGAAUAUUGGUCAAUGGGCGCGAGCCUGAACCAGCCAAGUAGCGUGAAGGAUGACUGCCCUACGGGUUGUAAACUUCUUUUAUAAAGGAAUAAAGUGAGGCACGUGUGCCUUGUUGUAUGUACUUUAUGAAUAAGGAUAGGCUAACGCCGUGCAAGCAGCAGCGGUAAUACGGAGGAUCCGAGCGUUAUCCGGAUUUAUUGUGUUUAAAGGGAGCGUAGAUGGGUUGUUAAGUCAGUUGUGAAAGUUUGCGGCUCAAACGUAAAAUUGCAAUUGAUACUGGCAGCCUUGAGUACAGUUGAGGUAGGCGGAAUUCGUGGUGUAGCGGUGAAAUGCUUAGAUAUCACGAAGAACUCCGAUUGCGAAGGCAGCUUACUAAACUGCCACUGACAUUGAUGCUCGAAAGUGUGGGUAUCAAACAGGAUUAGAUACCCGAGUAGUC